UGAGUGCACUCGAGUGGUUGAUGCGAUC
rnacentral:sRNA from 1 species